UACGAAGGGGGCUAGCGUUGUUCGGAAUUACUGGGCGUAAAGCGCACGUAGGCGGAUUGUUAAGUUAGGGGUGAAAUCCCAGGGCUCAACCCUGGAACUGCCUUUAAUACUGGCAAUCUCGAGUCCGAGAGAGGUGAGUGGAAUUCCGAGUGUAGAGGUGAAAUUCGUAGAUAUUCGGAAGAACACCAGUGGCGAAGGCGGCUCACUGGCCCGGUACUGACGCUGAUGUGCGAAAGCGUGGGAAGCAAACAGG
rnacentral:rRNA from 1 species